rnacentral:rRNA from 1 species
CCCUUAGAUGUUCUGGGCCGCACGCGCGCUACACUGACGAAUGCAACGAGCUUAUAACCUUGGCCGAAAGGUCUGGGUAAUCUCCAAAUUUCGUCGUGAUGGGGAUAGAUUAUUGCAAUUAUUAAUCUUCAACGAGGAAUGCCUAGUAAGCGCAAGUCAUCAGCUCGCGUUGAUUACGUCCCUGCCCUUUGUACACACCGCCCGUCGCUCCUACCGAUUGAAUGGUCCGGUGAAGCGUUCGGACCGUGGCCUUUGGACGGUUCGCCGUCUGUUGGCUGCGGGAAGUUCGUUAAACCUUAUCAUUUAGAGGAAGGAGAANUCGUANCA